AAAAAAAUGUUGAUUUAACACCCGGCUGACUCAUUCUCCAUUCAUUUAAUAAUUCCGUCUGUCACAUUGAGCAUUGCAAGGGCCCAGGGCUUAUGCACCACAGCAACGGUCCGUGAGCAGCUGUGUCCGGACUCGAGCUUCAUUGGUGCCACAUUAAAUGACCUUUUGGGGGGUCAACAUUUUCAAUGGCUUUAACUGAAGAUUGGUGCAAGUUGUAAAUUCAUUGUGUUCUUUGCCAUGGAUUAACAUUUCUGGAGCUUCCAGGGUACAAGAAAAACAGAACAAGGAAGUGGAGCGACAGUCAAUGGAUUUUACGGAGGAGAGGUUUGUAGACAGCCCCUUAAACCCUCCACCCCAUCUUCAAUCUCUCUGUUAAGAGCUGCUCAAGUUGCAUCUUGGCCAACACCUCAUAGAUGGCAUUAUUGGGAAAUGGCCUAUUGUUCUACUUCAACCAAUCAGAGAAGCUGGAACCACCCCUUCAUUUGAAUACUGAACCGCUAUAUAAGGGCACAGUUCAGACCUGGUCUUCAUCAUUUGCAGGUGGAUCAACUCAAUUGCCAACUGAGGUCAACAUCACAAGCCAUGGCUGUUCUCAAAAGAGAGAGGAAACACGAUGUUCUGAGAAGGAACUGGCGCAACACACAAGCCAAGAUCAUUAGCAAACGUGGCAAGAUCCAUGCCAAACCCAAGAGGAACAUGUGCAUCAUAAGGUUUCCCAGAAGCAGCUAUUUAACCUCGUGCCCUCUGGUGUCCGGGUAUUUCAACAGGAAGAUGCGGGACCAAAUCCUUUCCUUGCACAAGAGUAGACACUCCUGGAGCCCUUGCAUAGCUGACACUCCCCAGAAGUUGUCUCUGAGGCUUAACCGGCAACAAAAACCACAGCCCUUUACCCGGGGUGGACGUCAUGCUUUGCAAGUCACGCUCCGGGAAGUGGCCCUAAAGAAACGAGCAAAGUGGGUGGUGGAACCAACCAGGAAGAGGAGAAGAUACUCGGACAAUGAGAUCUUCUACAGGUUGGCCAACUGUCCCUCCCUAUCAGAAGUUGCAGGCACCUCUACUGAGGGAGAGGUGGAGGACUUAGCCUCCCAUGCUCCGGGGAUACUCCAACCAAGUGCCAAUGAAUUGCAAGAAGCUUUCAGCUAAAUGAACGGCCCUCGCUUCUUCUCGGCCCGGCAAGCAAGCUUCAAGAAGAGCCGAGAUAGAAGAAGAAGAAGAAUGGGGGGGGGGAAAUGAAGCCAUUAACCUGCAAAAAAGAUCCAGUAAUUUUGGGGGAGUCCCAACUGCACAUUUUUUAAUCCUGUGCUGAUUUUUUGAUGAAAUUAGUAUUUAUCAAUCCUUAAAAGAGAAAGAAAGGGGGGGAAAACCAUUAUUUGAAACCAUCGGUGAAAUUUUGCCACCUGGAGAAAGAAGACGGAGUAGCUCCACAAAAACAAGAACAUGAAGAUCUCCCAUCGUACUGUAGCGACAACGAAAUAACUUGUCCUAUCGAAUUCCCCGUUCCUCAAGGAUAUCCAUCUCGAAAUCCUAAUAAAAGCAGGAUCUUUUGCAAGGCAA